rnacentral:tRNA from 1 species
GCCCAGGUGGUGAAAUUGGUAAACACAAGGGACUUAAAAUCCCUCGACUUUGGUCUUGCGGGUUCAAGUCCCGCCCUGGGCACCA